GACGAACGCUGGCGGCGUGCCUAAUACAUGCAAGUCGAACGCAGUGGGGACGGGUGAGUAAAACGUGGUUAACCUCCCCAUCAGAGGGGAUAACCCUUGGAAACAGGUGAUAAACCUAUACUGAUGGAUGGACCCGCGGUGCAUUAGCUAGUUGGGGAGGUAACGGAUCACCAAGGCAACGAUGCAUAGCCGACCUGCGAGGGUGAUCGGCCACACUGGGACUGAGACACGGCCCAGACUCAUACGGGAGGCAGCAGUAGGGAAUCUUCGGCAAUGGACGAAAGUCUGACCGAGCAACGCCGCGUGAGUGAAGAAGGUUUUCGGAUCGUAAAACUCUGUUUUUAGAGAAGCGGUAUCUAACCAGAAAGCCACGGCUAACUACGUGCCAGCAGCCGCGGUAAUUC
rnacentral:rRNA from 1 species